GAAUGUCCCUCUCAAUUAGGACUCUCCGAGCUAAAGUCCUAAUAGUUUUACAUGAAUGUCCCUCUCAAUUAGGACUCUCCUAGCUAGAGUCCUAACAAACCCGCCCUCUUCAAAUCAGCCUUGUCCUCGAGGCUGACGAUUCAUGAAUUUUGGGAAUUUGAUCUUCAAGUCAUCAUAGUUCUCCAAAGUGGCAUCUUCUGUUAGUAGG
rnacentral:lncRNA from 1 species